rnacentral:rRNA from 1 species
UACGUAGGGGGCUAGCGUUGUCCGGAAUCAUUUGGGCGUAAAGCGCGUGUAGGCGGCCCGGUAAGUCCGCUGUUGAAAGUCCCAGGGCUCAACCCUGGGGAUGCCGGUGGAUACUGUCGGGCUCGAGUCCGGAAGAGGCGAGUGGAAUUCCUGGUGGUAGCGGUGAAAUGCGCAGAUAUCAAGGAGGAACACCGGUGGCG